GGUCGUGUCUGGCUCAACUGGUAGAGCAAGGCAUUAACACUGCCAGGGUAGGGGGUUCGAUUCCCACCCAUGCUAUUCA